rnacentral:lncRNA from 1 species
GAAAAUGUUGAUCUUGGGCUGAUAAGGCCCGUGUCAGUUGACACGGGUGGUCGUGUCAGCUCACUGCUUCCUGUGAGACGCCCAUGGUGCUUGACACGGUUGGGGAUAAGGCCUGACACGGCCCGUGUCAGGCUACUAUUUUCUUUCUUGCAUUCUCCUUCUGCCUGACACGGCCCAUGUCAGGUGACACGGGUGGCCGUGUCAAGCCUCCUGUACCAGGAUAUUUCCAUUCCUUUGCUUGU